rnacentral:rRNA from 1 species
AGAGUUUGAUCAUGGCUCAGAAUAAACGCUGGCGGCGUGCCUAACACAUGCAAGUCGCACGAGAACGCCCAUCUUCGGAAGGGCAAGUAAAGUGGCGCACGGGUGAGUAACGCGUAGGCGACCUACCCCUGUGUUCGGGAUAACAGUGCGAAAGCGCUGCUAAUACCGGAUACGACCCUUCGGGGUGAAAGCAGGCCUCUCAAAGAAGCUUGCGCGCGGGGAUGGGCCUGCGUCCUAUCAGCUAGUUGGUAGGGUAACGGCCUACCAAGGCUUCGACGGGUAGCUGGUCUGAGAGGAUGAUCAGCCACACUGGCACUGGAACACGGGCCAGACUCCUACGGGAGGCAGCAGUGAGGAAUUUUGCGCAAUGGGAGAAAUCCUGACGCAGCAACGCCGCGUGGGUGAAGAAGGCCUUCGGGUCGUAAAGCCCUGUCGGGUGGGAAGAAAUCCCGGGGGAAGAAUAUACUUUCGGGUUGACGGUACCACCAAAGGAAGCGCCGGCUAACUCCGUGCCAGCAGCCGCGGUAAUACGGAGGGUGCGAGCGUUAUUCGGAAUUACUGGGCGUAAAGCGCGUGCAGGCGGGUGGACAAGUCUGAUGUGAAAGCCCCGGGCUCAACCUGGGAAGUGCAUUGGAAACUGUUCAUCUUGAGUGCUGGAGAGGAAGGGGGAAUUCCCGGUGUAGAGGUGAAAUUCGUAGAGAUCGGGAGGAAUACCAGUGGCGAAGGCGCCCUUCUGGACGGCAACUGACGCUGAGACGCGAAAGCGUGGGGAGCAAACAGGAUUAGAUACCCUGGUAGUCCACGCCGUAAACGAUGAGCACUAGGUGUAGCGGGUACUCAUUCCUGCUGUGCCGCAGCUAACGCGUUAAGUGCUCCGCCUGGGGAUUACGGUCGCAAGACUAAAACUCAAAUGAAUUGACGG